UUCAUGUGGGAACUUACCUGUAGGUUGUCUUGCACUUAUCUGACUGUUUUGUCUCUCUAGAUUAAAAUCCAGAAUCUUGUAUUUCUGGAAUCACCCUCUGUCUGCACUGCACAUAAUGGAUGCACGAUAACUACUUGCUUCCCAUGGUCAGACACCAAGACUUGUCUGGAACAUGAUGGUACUGGGGUUAGAAAUGAGCCAUUUCAUUUCACAAACAUAGAUUGAGCAGAUGGGGGCACUGGAGUAGAGGCUAGGCCUAUGUGAUGGUCAGUUUUAUGCAUCAGUAGGGCAAAGCUACAGUCCUCAGUUAUUUAAACACUAAUUUAGGUGUUGUUGUCACCUAGGUGAUGAUGCAACUCAAGCAGAAAUUAUGGUGCCUAAACAAAGGCAGUGAUGGGAAGGAGAGGAAGAGACAAAGUGGAGGGAUAUUUAGGAAGCUGAUCAACUGCACUUGGCCAUCAGAUGUACUCGGGGUUACAGAGAAGGAGGAUUCUUGGAUGGCUUGCAAAUUUUAAAAGGAAAACCAGUUUUUUGGAUAGGCAUAAGAAAUAUAAUUAUGAACAUGUAUUUGGGGCCUGAGUAGAUUUUCAGGAUCUGCAAUAUGGAUAUAGAAAUAUACAGUAUAGAGGUUACAGCUUAGCCAUAGAGGGGAUGGAGAAAGUUAGCAUUUAAAGUAAGUACUCUUUUUUAACCUCUUUAAAAAACAACACACAUAAAAUGCACAGCUGGAUGAAAUUUCACAUAUAUUUGCUCUUGCGUAACUACCACGCUGACACACAACAGUUCCAAAACCA
rnacentral:lncRNA from 10 species